rnacentral:lncRNA from 10 species
AAACCUGCAUAUGUACCCAUGAACCUAAAAUAAAAGUUAAAAAAGAGAGAGAGAGAGAGAGCGAAUACAGUAGUCCCCUCUUAUCUGUGGGGGACACAUUCCAAGAUGGCUAGUGGAUGCCUGAAACCUUGGAUAAUACCAAAUCCAAUUAGGCACAGGAAGAAAUUAACAACAAUGAUAACAAAAUAGAACAAGUAUAGCAAGUACUAAGUUAGGCGAAUGUGAUCCAUCUCUCUCUCUCUCUCCUCUUUCUCAAAAUAACUUGUACUGUACUCACCCUUCUUCUUCUUGUAAUGAUGUGAGAAUCUAUGCCUGAAUCUGUGUAACCAUCCCUUACUCGCAGUAAAUGGCUUGGUGUCAGUUUCAGAGCAUCCCUUGCUGAAGUCUUGGUAUAGGCUCAAGGCUUUCUGGCGCAACAUGUUGCUGUCAAUGGGGACACGUUUUCUGUUCAUCUCUUCCACCCACAAAUGCAGUGCCUGUUCCAUCUUAACUAAGCACUUAUCACGCACUGUGGCCGUCACUUUAGCAGUUGGAGGUGAGACAGCAAAACUAGCACGAAUUUCUUUUUCCUUCUUCACAAUUUCACGGAUGGAAGAUUCAUUCUUCCCGUAGAUCUUAGCAACCUCAGCAUAGGAUUUUUUGUCUUUCCUGAUUAAGUCGAGAACUUUCACCUUUUCACUUAGAGGAAGCACUUUACGGCUUCUCUUUGGCCUAUCCAAAUUCCCAGCAUCACUACUCUUGUGCUUUGGGGCCAUUAUGAUGGAAAAUAAGGGUGAUUUGAACACAAACAAUGCAAUACUUGCAGACAGUUGAUCUGAUAACCCAGACGGCUCCCAAGUGACUAACGGGUGGGUGGCGUCUACCGUAGUUCCCCC